rnacentral:rRNA from 1 species
UAGGGAAUCUUCCACAAUGGACGCAAGUCUGAUGGAGCAACGCCGCGUGAGUGAAGAAGGUUUUCGGAUCGUAAAGCUCUGUUGUUGGUGAAGAAGGAUAGAGGCAGUAACUGGUCUUUAUUUGACGGUAAUCAACCAGAAAGUCACGGCUAACUACGUGCCAGCAGCCGCGGUAAUACGUAGGUGGCAAGCGUUGUCCGGAUUUAUUGGGCGUAAAGCGAGCGCAGGCGGAAUGAUAAGUCUGAUGUGAAAGCCCACGGCUCAACCGGGGAGCUGCAUCGGAAACUGUCAUUCUUGAGUGCAGAAGAGGAGAGUGGAAUUCCAUGUGUAGCGGUGGAAUGCGUAGAUAUAUGGAAGAACACCAGUGGCGAAGGCGGCUCUCUGGUCUGCAACUGACGCUGAGGCUCGAAAGCAUGGGUAGCGAACAGG